rnacentral:rRNA from 1 species
GCCUACGGGUGGCUGCAGUGGGGAAUAUUGGGCAAUGGGCGCAAGCCUGACCCAGCAACGCCGCGUGAGGGAAGAAGGCUUUCGGGUUGUAAACCUCUGUCCUUGGUGACGAAACAAAUGACGGUAGCCAAGGAGGAAGCCCCGGCUAACUACGUGCCAGCAGCCGCGGUAAUACGUAGGGGGCGAGCGUUGUCCGGAAUUACUGGGCGUAAAGGGUGCGUAGGUGGCCUUUUAAGUUGGAUGUGAAAUACCCGGGCUUAACUUGGGGGGUGCAUCUAAUACUGGAGGGCUAGAGUGCAGGAGAGGAAAGCGGAAUUCCUAGUGUAGCGGUGAAAUGCGUAGAUAUUAGGAGGAACACCAGUGGCGAAGGCGGCUUUCUGGACUGUAACUGACACUGAGGCACGAAAGCGUGGGGAGCAAACAGGAUUAGAUACCCCUGUAGUC